CAGUGAGAGCUCAUCGGAAACAAGCAUAGUAACCAUGGAGUAUUCCCAAAAGUUCAAGAUACUCGAUAUCCCUCCGGUCGUGCAAGAGCUGGUGGCCGGCGGCGUGCACGAGCCACCGGUCCAGUAUAAGGUUCCUGAGCAAGACCGUCCCGCGGCUGUCUCUGAGAUGCCGGAGCCCAUCCCCGUCAUCGAUCUUGGCCGGCUGUCAGCCAACAACGCCGAAGAGUUCGCCAAACUGCAGUCCGCUUUGGAGAACUGGGGCUUUUUCCUGGCGGUUGGGCACGGAAUGGAGCCUAGUUUCCUUGCGGAGACGAUGAGUGUGUCCAAGGAGUUCUUUAAGCUCCCACUAGAAGAGAAGCAAAAGGUCUCAAAAAUUGCCUACGGCGACACGCUAAGCAUAGAAGGGUACGGCAACGAGUCGGUCGUCGUUGAGAAUCAGCUCCUUGACUAGAACGAUCAGUGCUUCCUCAUAGUGGAACCCGAGUCCAAGAGAACAUAUACACUGUGGCCAACACAACCCCCUUCUUUCAGGGACAUUCUAUCUGAGUACACGGUCAAGUGCAGAGCGGUGGCCAACAUCGUACUACAAAACAUGGCCAAGCUGCUCAAUUUGGAUGAGGAAUACUUCACAAACAAGUUCGCCGACACGUCUUAUACCCUAGUUGGCUUCAACUACUACCCUCCAUGUCCCAAGCCGGACCAUGUCUUCGGCCUGAGGCCCCAUACUGAUGGUUCGGCGAUCACAGUGAACUUCAUCGAUGCUGACGUUAGUGGGCUCCAGUUUGAGAAGAAUAGCACAUGGUACAACGUCCCCAUCGUUCCAACUGCAUUGGUUGUGAACAUAGGAGAUGUAAUGGAGAUUCUGAGCAAUGGAUUCUUCAAAAGCCUUAUGCACAGGGUUGUCACCAAUACGGAGAAAGAGCGAUUGUCGUUGGCGAUGUUCUAUUCAUUGGACAUGGAGAUGGAUAUUGAGCCGGUGCCGGACCUGCUGGAUGAUAAGCGGCCACCACGAUACAAGAUAAAGAACAAGGACUACAUAGCAAAACAAACCUACAUUUUUGCAACAGGCAAACAAACCAUUGACACCUUGAAGAUCUGAAUUUGAUUUUCAAGUGAAGAUAUUUGGUAAACACAAUUGUGAAGUUUAUUGCAUAGGCCAUUAUGCUAUGAGUUUAUGAUUAUGUUUUACUCUCUUCCCUGAUUUAUAUGUGUCACCUAUAAGAAGUUUGUGUUUGCCCUUUUCCCCAAUUUAUGUGUGUGAAGUCCUUUAUGUAAAGUGUUAUGUAGCUUGGUUGGUUUAUGAAACCUUAAAUAAUAAAAUGUAUCCAUGUUGUGCAA